UUGAACGAUCGGAAACAAAGUUGAGAGGAGUGCUAUGUCCUCUUAGCGCAUGUUCUUGGUGAACGUAACCUUCCUUCACUGUACACUUGCAGAUGGCUUUCAUCAUUGUGGCAGGUAUCUGCCUCUGCCUCUACUUCCUGUUUCUGUGUUUCAUGGUAUUUCAAGUAUUCAGAAACAUCAGUGGGAAACAGUCUAGCCUCCCAGCCAUGAGCAAAGUCCGGAGGCUGCACUAUGAGGGUCUGAUUUUCAGGUUCAAGUUCCUCAUGCUGAUCACCUUGGCUUGUGCUGCCAUGACUGUUAUCUUCUUCAUUGUUAGUCAGGUGACAGAAGGCCAUUGGAAAUGGGGUGGGGUCACAGUUCAAGUGAGCAGUGCUUUCUUCACUGGAAUCUAUGGGAUGUGGAACCUGUAUGUCUUUGCUUUGAUGUUCUUGUAUGCACCAUCCCAUAAGAACUAUGGGGAAGACCAGUCUAAUGGUGACCUGGGUGUCCACAGCGGGGAAGAACUGCAGCUCACUACCACAAUCACCCAUGUAGAUGGACCGACUGAGAUCUACAAGUUGACCCGUAAAGAAGCACAGGAGUAGUAGGCUAUGGUAUGGCACUGGGCUGGAAUUGUCUCUCUGUCCAGCCUCUUCCCCUGGAAAAGAUGUCCUACUAUACAGAGAGCAGUGAAAAGUGAAUGCCUAAUGCUUCUUAGGUAUAGUUUCUUAGAACAAUGGAUGGACAUUUGUCAGAUGACCUCCAAUGGUGGCUGUUGUAAGACUUCUGCCUAUGUAGCAUAUGAUAACAAAAACUGAUAUGACACAUUUUUUCUGUGAUCAUUGUUAAUUAGUGACAUAGCAACAUCUGUAGCAGCUGGGUUAAUAACCCUUACAUAGAGGGAUAUAUAGGAUGGUUUGGGCCAAUAGGCGUUAUAUUGAGUAGAUUAUGGUUAUUUUUUUCUGUUUUAGAUUCUGGGAUAUGUUUAAACAUUCUUUGCAGGCCAAACAUUUGCUGAUGUCAUAGCAUUUUCACUCUCCUCCAUGGGCACUUUUUUUCUAUUUAUAUCACCAAGUAGCCAACAGAGUUAUUCAAGUUGUCAGUACAAAUAUAUCCACUUUUUAAAAAAUGGAUUACUAUAAAAUAACCAAACUUCAUGAGAAAUUCUAUCUUACCAGAGGCAUUUCAGCUUUUAAACCAAAUCUGUGUAUUUGAUACUAAUCUGUCUGUUGGAUGUGGAUUUUGAGAAAUAUUUGCUAAAUUACCCAAAUAGGAUUUCUUUUAUUAAAUGGCCUUUGGGUCCUAAAAAGCUUUUUAAACUUCUUGCUUGAAAUGUGUUUUCUUUUGAUAAGAUGUUUCAAACAGCCUCCAAAACUGUAAAUCCAAUCAUUUGAAUAAAAUGAAUGUAAACAUGCACUCCUUCCUGCCCCAACAAUUCUCAGGCACACAGAUUCAAAUCUACUUAGACCUUGGAGUACUCAGGAACUGGCAGAAAUAGCCUGAGUAUUUCUGGAGAUGAAGCAAUACCUUCUGUAUCGGGUAUUAAGCCUCUCUAGGCCAGCAAGGAAUGCUCACAUACAUGAGGAAUCAGAUGCUUUAGAUCCUCAUACACAUAUCUCAUUCCCAUACCUGUAAUAGCCUAUGGUAUUGUUUUUCGUUUGUUUCCUUUUUAUUUUAUUUGUGCUUUUUUAAUGCUAAAGAAGUCACAUGGCAUAGCAGAUAAAAUCCUGAAUUUGAAAGGCAGUUUUCUAUCAAAGGUUUAUCAUGUUCUAGUUGUGUGACCUUGUUCAAGCUCUGACAUGACCGUUCUCCAGCGUACAAGCAGCAUUCAUAAAGUGUAACUGUGUUCAGGGCCACAAUGAAAAAAUAAUUAAUGUACAUGGAAAUGCUUUAUCAGUUAUACAUCCAUACAAAUAGAUUCACUUUUCAGUCUUACAAAAAUUUCAUGAGAGUCUCAUUUUUUAAGUAGUGCUGAUUGAAACAAAGUUUGUGGCAUAUUCUGUCUAAUUGACCUACCUGGCAAACCCCAUCCUCUGUUUUUCCUAACUUUGGCCAGAACCAUGGUAAACAGUGACAGAGAAAGUACUUAGGUGUUGGCUCUUGUCUUUAUGCCUUUUUCUAACCUGGUGAGUAUUAAAUAGGUGUGCAGUCAAUUGUACCCAACAUCCACUUACUGAUCUGACACCUGAGAAUAAAUAACCAAGUGUAGCCUGUGCCUCUGUUUCUUUUAGAGCAAAUAAACUUCAAGCACUAUAGUUAUCUCCCCUUCUAGAAAAUGGCAUGAGGUGUCUCUAUUCUUUAGGAUUGGAUAAUAGUCUGAGGGAGACUAUUAAAUAAGUAUUAUUUUUCUCAUGGUCAAAUGAUAGAGAGUAAAGUAUUGGAAAAGUCAUAGAAGCUAUGUAACUUAUAGGAUAUUAGUCUAGUUAUGUGCCAAGAUGUUAUAUAGAAAGACACAAGAUGAGCCCCCACCCCUGUGCCCUUGGAGCCAAAAUAAAUAUCAUUUUCAAUGUCAUAGUAAGAGUUGCUAGGCUGCUUUAAGUUUUAUACAAAGAAGUAAUAUGGUUAGAAUUACCUCUGAAGCAAGGGAAGGCUUGAUAGACCCAGCAAUAAGCUCAUAGGCCAGAGCCAGUCAGCAGCAGAGAAUGUGGAGAAGGGUAAAUUAUUUUGGAGAUAAAACAUAGCAGACAUGGUCUGAAUGUUACGAAUGUGAGCUUCAUAAAGAAACAAGGUAGAGUCAAAUUUCAGAUCCUUGCUGAGAAGUGGACUAGCAGGUCCCUGGCUCAUGUAAAGAUCACUGAAUGAAAUGUCAGCAUGCCCAUAAAUAGAAGAAGCCAAGAAGCUCAGAAAAGGCCCUUCCUAGAAUAG
rnacentral:lncRNA from 1 species